rnacentral:lncRNA from 1 species
GCUCAGGCUGGUCUUGAACUCCUGACCUUGAGCGAUCCUCCCACCUCGGCCUCCCAGAGUGCUAGGAUUACAGGCAUGAGCCACCACGCCCGGCCCCAUUUCCUAUUCUUGAGGCAGGAUUUUUUUAACUUCCCACUUGUCGAAGGAGAGUGGAGCACCUUUGUCAAAUCCUCACGUUCCCCCAAAUCUCUCUGCAACGUCUACUUACACGGGCGCUGAGCCCGGGCCUGGCUUCGGAAGCGGGUGGGAAACAUGGGCGUCACUAAUUCGUGGCCUCAGAGACCUUUCUUUGACAGGUUAUUGACCCUGUGAAUACGUUGGCACCAAACAGCCAAUGACCCAACAGCUGCCGCUCACAGAAUCGUGACUUUCAUUGUCAGCAAAGUCACUCUGGCAUGCCCUCCGAUAUUUUAUCACAUGGAGACGCCAGGGGCCACCUCUCCAGCCCGUAGCCAAGACUCUGGGAGCUCCGGGGGCAGGUCUCUGAGGAUGCCCCAGGACCAGCGCUGGUGGCAGGCCGCAUGCACUUACCUUCCUGUCCCUGGAGAAGUGAGGACCUGGCCCUGUCACCAACAGCAGCGGGCGAGCAGGUUUGACAGGCACGUCCCACAGUAGCAGCGCCUUAUACGCCACCACGGAAGCGCAGUCGUCCCCACGGCCAUGCGGGAUCCCGGGAACCUUUGUCCGAGCCUCUGGCCGACCCCCAGCAGGUGGGGCCUGAGGGGAUGGCUUCAGAGACGGGGUCUUGCUCUGUCACCCAGGCUGGAGUGCAGUGGCCGAUCACAGAUCCCCAGCUCAAGCGAUCCUCCUGCCUCAACCUCCCGAGUAGCUGGGACCACAGGUGUGGGCCAGCAGGCUUGUCGGUUUUGACGCCAAACCACCAUGAUGCCGCCCCCCAGCUUCCCCAGCUUGUGCCUGCGCCCCCAGAGGCUCACCCCAGACGCCCAGGUAUUGAU